UGCAGCUACAUCACGUUGAAUCACCAGUUCCUGUAUGAUCAUUGAAAUUAAGCAACAUUGAGCCUGGCCAGUACUUAGAUGAGUGAUCAUUUGGGAAUACCAGGUGCUGUAAG